rnacentral:rRNA from 1 species
ACGGCGAGUGAAGCGGCAACAGCUCAAAUUUGAAAUCUGGCCUCUUCGGGGUCCGAGUUGUAAUUUGUAGAGAGUGCUUCGGGCGCGACCGCGGUCUAAGUCCAUUGGAACAUGGUGUCACAGAGGGUGAGAAUCCCGUAUGUGACUGUGGCUCAAGCCCGUGUGAAGCCUCUUCGACGAGUCGAGUUGUUUGGGAAUGCAGCUCAAAAUGGGUGGUAAAUUUCAUCUAAAGCUAAAUACUGGCUGGAGACCGAUAGCGCACAAGUAGAGUGAUCGAAAGAUGAAAAGCACUUUGGAAAGAGAGUCAAACAGUACGUGAAAUUGUUGAAAGGGAAGCGCUUGCAACCAGACCUGUCCGUAGGUGAUCAGCCGCUGUUCUCAGUGGUGCACUCGCUCUGCGAUCAGGCCAGCAUCGGUUCGGGCGGCCGGAUAAAGGCCGCGGGAAUGUAGCUCCCUCCGGGGAGUCUUAUAGCCCGCGGUGCAAUGCGGCCCGCCGGGACCGAGGACCGCGCUUCGGCUAGGAUGCUGGCGUAAUGGUUGUAAGCGACCCGUCUUGAAACACGGACCAAGGAGUCUAACAUCGACGCGAGUGUUUGGGUGUCAAACCCAUGCGCGGAAUGAAAGUGAACGGAGGUGAGACCCCUCAAGGGCGCAUCAUCGACCGAUCCAGAUGUCUUCGGAUGGAUUUGAGUAUGAGCAUCGAUGUUGGGACCCGAAAGGCACGUUCCCCCCCUUCCGUUAUCGUAUCGAACAUAAGCUAACAUGUGCAACAGACAGUGAACUAUGCCUGAAUAGGGUGAAGCCAGAGGAAACUCUGGUGGAGGCUCGCAGCGGUUCUGACGUGCAAAUCGAUCGUCAAAUUUGGGUAUA